UAUGGAUUUCUAUACCAGCCUUUAACAAUGUUUUGAGGACAGGCUUUGAACUUUUAUUUGUAGCCAUAAGAUCACAGUAUAUAAUAAAAACAAGAUCUAAAGCAGCAAUCCAACAGCAGUUUCAAGAAGAGAAUCAAAAGGCCUGGCAAACCUUUCUGGGGAAGGAAACCCAAAGAGGGGGAAUAAAACCAAGUAGACCUUCUCUUUAGUUGCAACCAGGUGUUCUGCUGCAGGAGUUGGUUGAAGAGCCUUCCUAGACAAUGGCAGAAAAUGGUUGGAAUCCACGCUGGCGGAAUAAAUGUCUCUUCGGAGAAGCUGUUUGCCAUGAUGGGCAGGAUGCACCAUAUUCCUACUCAAAUUGACUUUGGAUGGAUAACCACUCGGAAGGUCUGUACAGGUGGAAAGCAACCUAAAAAUACUAGCAAGAAAUACAUUCAACAAGCAUCAGGAAUCCUGUGUAUCAAUAACUUCUAUUGCCAAAGAUCACAAGAAUUGGCUUCAGGCUUUAUGAAGCCCCCUAUGUCUGCUGAAAAUAUGUCCCUGAAGGUCCCCCCAAAACUGGACGUAUUUUUGACAAGCACGAGGGGCUGCAGAGGGAAGGGGAGGGAUGAAAAAAUAAAAGAAGGAUCAACUUACCAGCCA